AUUGAACGCUGGCGGCAGGCCUAACACAUGCAAGUCGAGCGGAGCGGCGGACGGAAGAGUAAUGCCUAGGAAUCUACCUGGUAGUGGGGGAUAAAGUCCGGCAACGGGCGGUAAGACCGCCUGCUAUCAGAUGGGUCAAGCGCGGAUGAGCUAGUUGGUGGGGUAAAGGCCUACCAAGGCGACGAUCCGUAACUGGUCUGAGAGGAUGAUCAGUCACACUGGAACUGAGACACGGUCCAGACUCCUACGGGAGGCAGCAGUGGGGAAUAUUGGACAAUGGGCGAAAGCCUGAUCCAGCCAUGCCGCGUGUAUGAAGAAGGUCUUCGGAUUGUAAAGCACUUUAAGUUGGGAGGCGUUACCAACAGAAUAAGCACCGGCUAACUUCGUGCCAGCCGCCGCGGUAAUAC
rnacentral:rRNA from 1 species